rnacentral:rRNA from 1 species
CCCUUAGAUGUUCUGGGCUGCACGCGCGCUACACUGAUGCAGUCAGCGAGUUUUUCCUGUUCCGGAAGGAUCGGGUAAUCUUUUGAAACUGCAUCGUGAUGGGGAUAGAUUAUUGCAAUUAUUAAUCUUGAACGAGGAAUUCCUAGUAAGUGCAAGUCAUCAGCUUGUACUGAUUACGUCCCUGCCCUUUGUACACACCGCCCGUCGCUCCUACCGAUUGAAUGAUCCGGUGAAUUAUUUGGACCGUGCUCGAUUCUCUGAAGAGAGCGUGGGAAAUUUUGUGAACCUUAUCAUUUAGAGGAAGGAGAAGUCGUAACA